rnacentral:tRNA from 1 species
GGGGAUGUAGCUCAGCUGGUAGACUGUUUGCCUUGCAUGCACAAGGUCCUGGGUUAAAUCCCCAGCAUCACAC